ACCUUUAGGAACUAAAAAAAGAAACCAACACUGCCUCUCCUCCCUGCUCUCACCCUGCAAACCAUCUCCCUGCUCCCUCUCUCUCUUCCCCGCAUCCACCGCAGGCCGCAGCCACCGCAGGCCGCAGCCACCGCAGGCCGCAACCACCAACGAUCCGAGCAGUCGAGUUCGAGGAAGAGAAAGCUAGUCACCGACGUUGAAGAUGGUCUUGUCGUUGACGCUCAAUUCGACGACACUCCUCCCCACCUCCGCCAACUCGCCGCCGUCUCUCAGUCCGACGACCUCUCUUCCCUCCGCCUCGCUCUCGAGAGAUCAAUUUUGUCAAUGACAUGGUCGGCACACUUGCUGGCAAUGGUACAAAGGGCUCUGAUUACAAAGAAGGAAGAAGGGGAACGUCUCAGGUAUGAUUAGAGAAGGACAUAUAGUUUCCUUUAUGCUCAAUAGAUAAUAUACUCUACUUUAUGCUACUAAAAUCACUCUUAAGAUUCUUGUUGUUUACAAGUUGUGAUGUGAUUUAAGCUCCUCAAUUCUCCGUGGGAUGUCUUUUUUGAUCCUGUCAGAGAAAAGGUUUAUAUAGAAAUAGCUGGCCAACAUCAGAUCUGGGAACACAAUCUAUCAGACGAAACCAACAUAGCUUUUAGUGGUGAUGGUUAUGAAAGAAACUUGAAUGGUUCAAGGUAUGAGUAUAGAGUGUGUAGACAUUUGUGUCCUAGUUUAGUUGUAGUGAGCUGAUAACACCGCAUAUGUCUUUUGAUACUGUAAUUUCUGUGUAACCUCAGUUUUCCCAUACUCAUAAAUCUCAUGAGAAUAGACUACACGAGCUGCUUCUUCAUCUCCCCCCCCCGUUCGUCAUGAAGCUUUCUUGUUCUGUAGUAGUCUCCAUGUUGUUUAAGUAGAACUAAGCUAUGCGACAAAGGUUUUGCUGUUGUUCAUCCUAAGUUGUGAUUGAAUUGGUGGCAGAUUCUUAGUGACAAAGAGACCAUCAAACUUCAGUCCAAGCAGGACCACUAACGAGUAGGAUCUAAAAUACAUUUUAAGGGACGAUUACGAGAUGUGCCUGGACGUAAAAUUCAAGGCUAGAGCUGAUUGCCUCAAGUUUGACGAACUUCAUACUGUAACUGUUACAAACACAUGACAUAGAGGAUGUCAGGUUUGUAUAUUUUUCAGUGGACUCUAUCCCAAGUUUAUUUCAAAAAACUGGGACGUAUUCCUUUUCAGUCUCUCUUGUAAGUAUUGUAUGUCUUGUCUAGUUAUCCUGCAUAAAAUACUCAUAUUUGUUAAGUUUGAUACUACUUUGACUAUUGUGCAGCAGGUUUCAAGACACGAACACUAGAUUGUUUUUUUGCGGCCUGGAAAUCUCGCUGCAUGUGGUGACCCUAUAUCCCGCCUUUGGUACCUUGGUUGAUAUACUGAAACGAAUGCUAUUUGUUUCCCCUACCACAAACCGAUUGGAAGUUGAUGAAGGAAGCAUUCAAGCUUCUUAGACCAGUGCUUGCUUCGAUAUGUGAUGCCAAAUUAUAAGGCUUUCUACAUCUUUCUCUCACUGUUAGGUUUUCAAAACUCCAAGGGAGGAGCCCUUUACCAAAAAGGAGUUGGAUGAGGUUCGAGACAAGUGGGUUAUUUACUUCAACGAUUGUGAACUACCCUCAGUGUAAUAAAUAGAGUAGAUUUGUAGUUAUUCGUGACUCUUACAUUAUUUUGUUAUUUAUCGAUUUAAUUAAUUACAUUUGAAUUAAUUCGGUAAUAUUAUUGGAAAUUUGAAAUUUAUAUCAUUUUUGAGAAUGUCAA